rnacentral:rRNA from 1 species
CUGCGGAAGGAUCAUUGUUGAGACCCGAAGGAAGGAUAAAAAGAAAAGAUCGACAAACAUGUAAACAAAACACACCAUGCCGGUGGGGCACGCAUAGUGGUAGAACCCUUUGCUAUGGACCUAGCUGCAUUGCACCAUCGAGCGAUCCAAAAUUGUUGGUGCACUCGGUGGAGAUGGUGUCAGAUGGACAAACUCUGGCAUGGGCGAAUGCCAAGCAUCAUACUGACCUGUGCGAUGUGAUGGUAGGAAAAAUUAGUAUUUUCUAUCAGUCCACAGAAGGUAAAAGAAAGUGGUGGUAUGCACAAUGACUCUCGACAACGGAUAUCUAGGCUCUUGCAUCGAUGAAGAACGUAGCGAAAUGUGAUAGUUGGUGUGAAUUACAGAAUCCCGUGAACCAUCGAGUCUUUGAACGCAAGUUGCAUCUGAGACCUUUUGGUUGAGGACACACCUGCCUGGGUGUCAAGCCUCAUGUCGCUCUGCACGCCCAUUGCAUGGGAUGAACAGAAGUGGAGAUUGGCCCACCGUGCCUUUGUAUUGUGGGUUGAAGUAAGGGACGCCUUUGGGGUUUGGGGACACGAUAGAGUGUUGGAUGGAGCGCUUUUUCCAUAGUCGGUGUCGUUCUCCUUUCCCGCCAUGCCCAUUGACAUGGUUGGGAGCGUCCUCUCCUCCCCACAUGCGCUUGUAUCAUCAUGCGAUUGCCAGUGCUGUGAGAGGAUGAGACCCUUGGAAAGGACCAGAUGCGCUGGUGGUGCUUGUCCUUGCGUCAUGACCCCAGGUCAGGUGGGAUCACCCGCCGAGCUUAAGCAUAUCA